GCCAAGAUUAUGUCAUUUAAAUAAAUAAAACCAAAUGGGUUCGAACACGUGGUGUUAGAGCAACGAUGCAAUCUUUUCACCCAUUGGACACAUAUAAAAACACACUGUAGAGUUGUAAGUUCACAAGCGUAUCUUCUUCACCAGAGUUUUAAAGACGAACCAAAAGUCCAAAAAUGGCUCUUCGAACCCUAAUGACCAAAAGGACCUACGCCGGAGUGUUAGGGUUCCGGCAACAAUUCCGUUACGUACAGACUUUCUCUCUGCCCGAUCUCCCUUAAGAUUAUGGAACCUUAGAACCUGCCAUUACCGGUGAAAUUAUGCAGCUCCAUCACCAGAAACACCAUCAGACUUACAUAACAAAUUACAAUAAAGCCCUUGAACAGCUCCACGAUGCAAUCAACAAGGGUGAUUCUUCUACCGUAGCUAAAUUGCAGAGUGCUAUCAAGUUCAAUGGCGGAGGUCAUAUUAAUCAUUCAAUUUUCUGGAAGAACAUUGCCCCUACUCGCGAUGGUGGUGGUGAGCCUCCAAAGGGUUCUUUUCGCUGGGCCAUAGACACUCACUUGGGCUCUCUUGAAGCUGUAAUACAAAAGAUGAAUGCAAAAGGUGCGCCGCUUUACAGGGUUCUGGUUGGGUGUGGCUUGGUUUGGACAAAGAACUGAAGCACCUAGUGAUUGAAACCACCUCAAAUCAGGAUCCUUUGGUUAUUAAAGGACCAAACUUGGUUCCUCUUUUGGGCAUUGAUGUUUGGGAACAUGCAUACUACUUGCAGUACAAAAAUGUGAAACCAGAUUACCUAAAGAAUAUAUGGAUAGUCAUGAACUGGAAAUAUGCUGCUGAAGUUUACGAGAAAGAAUGUCCCUGAACUGAGAUCUUUGACGCGAUACAGAGGACAUGUCCCGUGUCUGUACAAAUUUUAACGCGAACUUAGUGCUUACUGUCGUGCGAGUGGUCCUAUUUGUAUGAUAUGUAGUAGCUGGUUGAUGUACGUACUAUGUGGAAACUGAAUAAGCUACACUGCAGCUAGUUGUUACCAAUUUUCCUGUGCAUCCAUUUACAGUAGUUUGUUUAAGUACGAUAAGUCGAUAAUUGGUUGUUUACUUUGUUUAAGUACGUUAAGAUCUCUUUAUAACAAUCAUCCUCUAUAAUUAUAUUUCACUAUAACAAUUA